rnacentral:tRNA from 1 species
UCCCUAGUAGCUCAGAUGGUAAAGCAUCUGUCUGCAAUGCAGGAGACUCAGGUUUGAUCCCUGGGUUGGGAA